GACGAACGCUGGCGGCGUGCUUAACACAUGCAAGUCGAACGGAAAGGCCAUGCUUUUGUGGGGUGCUCGAGUGGCGAACGGGUGAGUAACACGUGAGUAACCUGCCCUUGACUUUGGGAUAACUUCAGGAAACUGGGGCUAAUACCGGAUAGGAGCUCCUGCUGCAUGGUGGGGGUUGGAAAGUUUCGGCGGGUGGGGAUGGACUCGCGGCUUAUCAGCUUGUUGGUGGGGUAGUGGCUUACCAAGGCUUUGACGGGUAGCCGGCCUGAGAGGGUGACCGGCCACAUUGGGACUGAGAUACGGCCCAGACUCCUACGGGAGGCAGCAGUGGGGAAUAUGGCACAAUGGGCGGAAGCCUGAUGCAGCAACGCCGCGUGCGGGAUGACGGCCUUCGGGUUGUAAACCGCUUUCGCCUGUGACGAAGCGUGAGUGACGGUAAUGGGUAAAGAAGCACCGGCUAACUACGUG
rnacentral:rRNA from 1 species